rnacentral:rRNA from 1 species
UGGGUAACCUGCCUCAAAGAGGGGAAUAGCCUCCCGAAAGGGAGAUUAAUACCGCAUAAUAUGUUUAAGUCGCAUGACUUUAACAUCAAAGGAUUUUCUUUUAGAAAUUCCACUUUGAGAUGGACCCGCGGCGCAUUAGCUAGUUGGUGAGGUAACGGCUCACCAAGGCAACGAUGCGUAGCCGACCUGAGAGGGUNAUCGGCCACAUUGGGACUGAGACACGGUCCAGAUUCCUAGGGAGG